rnacentral:rRNA from 1 species
GACGAACGCUGGCGGCGUGCCUAAUACAUGCAAGUAGAACGCUGAAGAGAGGAGCUUGCUCUUCUUGGAUGAGUUGCGAACGGGUGAGUAACGCGUAGGUAACCUGCCUUGUAGCGGGGGAUAACUAUUGGAAACGGUAGCUAAUACCGCAUAACAAUGGAUGACACAUGUCAUUUAUUUGAAAGGGGCAAUUGCUCCACUACAAGAUGGACCUGCGUUGUAUUAGCUAGUAGGUGAGGUAAUGGCUCACCUAGGCGACGAUACAUAGCCGACCUGAGAGGGUGAUCGGCCACACUGGGACUGAGACACGGCCCAGACUCCUACGGGAGGCAGCAGUAGGGAAUCUUCGGCAAUGGGGGCAACCCUGACCGAGCAACGCCGCGUGAGUGAAGAAGGUUUUCGGAUCGUAAAGCUCUGUUGUAAGUCAAGAACGGGUGUGAGAGUGGAAAGUUCACACUGUGACGGUAGCUUAACAGAAAGGGACGGCUAACUACGUG